UGGGGAAUUGUUCGCAAUGGGCGAAAGCCUGACGACGCAACGCCGCGUGGGGGAUGAAGGUCUUCGGAUUGUAAACCCCUGUCGUGUGGGAAGAACGACCUCGUGGUGAACAGCCAUGGGGUUUGACGGUACCACGUGAGGAAGCCCCGGCUAACUCUGUGCCAGCAGCCGCGGUAAUACAGAGGGGGCAAGCGUUGUUCGGAAUUACUGGGCGUAAAGGGCGCGUAGGCGGCCUACUAAGUCAUACGUGAAAUCCCACGGCUCAACCGUGGAACUGCGUCUGAGACGGGAAGGCUUGAAUUCGGGAGAGGGAUGCGGAAUUCCAGGUGUAGCGGUGAAAUGCGUAGAUA
rnacentral:rRNA from 1 species